rnacentral:ribozyme from 1 species
GACGAUGUGGAAGUCAGCCCAGCUGCGCUCCCACACCUUUAAGUGCUCCUCCAACACCAUCAGGAGCACUAAGUUGGCUUCGUCCAACGCCAGCUCGGAGGACGCGACCGACUGC